UACCAUUUGGAAACAGAUGCUAAUACCGGAUAAAAAGCUACUUUCGCAUGAAAGAAGUUUAAAAAAGGACGGCGUAAAGCUGUCGCUAAAGGAUGGACCUGCGAUGCAUUAGCUAGUUGGUAAGGUAACGGCUUACCAAGGCGAUGAUGCAUAGCCGAGUUGAGAGACUGAUCGGCCACAUUGGGACUGAGACACGGCCCAAACUCCUACGGGAGGCAGCAGUAGGGAAUCUUCCACAAUGGACGCAGGUCUGAUGGAGCAACGCCGCGUGAGUGAAGAAGGUUUUCGGAUCGUAAAGCUCUGUUGUUGGUGAAGAAGGAUAGAGGUAGUAACUGGCCUUUAUUUGACGGUAAUCAACCAGAAAGUCACGGGCUAACUACGUGCCAGCAGCCGCGGUAAAU
rnacentral:rRNA from 1 species